UCCUACGGGAGGCAGCAGUGGGGAAUAUUGGACAAUGGGGGGAACCCUGAUCCAGCCAUGCCGCGUGUGUGAAGAAGGCCUUUUGGUUGUAAAGCACUUUAAGCGAGGAGGAGGCUACCGAGAUUAAUACUCUUGGAUAGUGGACGUUACUCGCAAAAUAAGCACCGGCUAACUCUGUGCCAGCAGCCGCGGUAAUACAAAGGGUGCAAGCGUUAAUCGGAUUUACUGGGCGUAAAGCGCGCGUAGGUGGCCAUUUAAUUCAAAUGUGAAAUCCCCGAGCUUAACUUGGGAAUUGCAUUCGAUAUUGGUUGGCUAGAGUAUGGGAAAGGAGGGUAAAAUUCCCGGUGCAGCGGCGAAAUGCGUAAAAAUUUGGAGGAAUCCCGAUGGGGAAGGAGGCCCUCUGGCCUAAUACUGACACGAAGGUGCAAAAGCAUGGGGAGCAAACGGGAUUAAACACCCCGGUAGUCCCUGCCAAAAACAAAGUUUUCCACCCCGUGGGGGCC
rnacentral:rRNA from 1 species